AUGUGGUUUAACUCGAAGCAACGCGAAGAACUUACCUGGUCUUGACAUCCCGGAGACCCUUAGGAAACUAGGGGUGCUUCCAUCUGGAAGAAUCUGGAGACAGGUGCUGCAUGGCUGUCGUCAGCUCGUGUCGUGAGAUGUUGGGUUAAGUCCCGCAACGAGCGCAACCCUUGCCUUUAGUUGCCAGCAGUUCGGCUGGGCACUCUAAAGGGACUGCCGGUGUUAAACCGGAGGAAGGUGGGGAUGACGUCAAGUCCUCAUGGCCUUUAUGACCAGGGCUACACACGUACUACAAUGGCCGAUACAAAGGGCAGCGACACUGCGAGGUGAAGCCAAUCCCGUAAAAUCGGUCUCAGUCCGGAUUGGAGUCUGCAACUCGACUCCAUGAAGUUGGAAUCGCUAGUAAUCGUGGAUCAGCAUGCCACGGUGAAUACGUUCCCGGGCCUU
rnacentral:rRNA from 1 species